rnacentral:lncRNA from 1 species
CUAUAUAAAUAAUUUUAAUUUAAAAUAAAACUAAUUAUUUGCAAUUACUGUAAUAAACGUAUGAUACGGGCAGAAUUUAAUGGCGACAGUUAACUGAAAUAUAACCUAUAAAUUAAUCGAAUGGAUUUGCAGUUUUAAGCAAGCCAAGAAGACAACAACAACAACAACAACAACAACAACAACAACGUUUAAAAAUUUGAAUAUUUGAUAUUUUUAUGCCAUUCAUGAUCAGAAUGACGGGUUGAGUUGAUCGAGCCACAUCCGACUGAUUGGUCUGUUUGUAAGAAACUAAUCCCUCCAGUUUUGAGAUAUGUCAAUCAAACUUGUAUUCAACUCGCCUUCGCCCGAUCGAAGAUCAGAAAAUUAUAAUCCGUUGUACAUUCAGCAAGUUACCUAAACUCUUUUCACUAAGGCAUAAAUCCUUUUCCACUUCCACAACAUUUUCACCACAAUUUUCCGGAGUUACCUUUCAAUUGACCAAUUAAAAUUCCAUUUCGUUAUUUUACACCUUUUUAAAUUCUUAUUAU